UACGAAGGGGGCUAGCGUUGCUCGGAAUCACUGGGCGUAAAGCGCACGUAGGCGGGUUGCUAAGUCAGGGGUGAAAUCCUGGAGCUCAACUCCAGAACUGCCUUUGAUACUGGCGGCCUUGAGUCCGGGAGAGGUGAGUGGAACUGCGAGUGUAGAGGUGAAAUUCGUAGAUAUUCGCAAGAACACCAGUGGCGAAGGCGGCUCACUGGCCCGGUACUGACGCUGAGGUGCGAAGGUCAGGGGAGCAAACGGG
rnacentral:rRNA from 1 species